rnacentral:rRNA from 1 species
GUGUCAGCAGCCGCGGUAAUACGUAGGGGGCAAGCGUUGUCCGGAAUUAUUGGGCGUAAAGCGCGCGCAGGCGGCUGAUUAAGUCUGGAGUUUAAGCCCGGGGCUCAACCCCGGAUCGCUCUGGAAACUGGUCGGCUUGAGUGCAGGAGAGGGAAGCGGAAUUCCACGUGUAGCGGUGAAAUGCGUAGAGAUGUGGAGGAACACCAGUGGCGAAGGCGGCUUCCUGGCCUGUAACUGACGCUGAGGCGCGAAAGCGUGGGGAGCAAACAGGAUUAGAUACCCUGGUAGUCC